UACGGGGGGGCAAGCGUUGUUCGGAAUUCCUGGGCGUAAAGGGCUCGUAGGCGGCCAACUAAGUCAGACGUGAAAUCCCUCGGCUUAACCGGGGAACUGCAUCUGAUACUGGAUGGCUUGAGUUCGGGAGAGGGAUGCGGAAUUCCAGGUGUAGCGGUGAAAUGCGUAGAUAUCUGGAGGAACACCGGUGGCGAAGGCGGCAUCCUGGACCGACACUGACGCUGAGGAGCGAAAGCCAGGGGAGCAAACGGG
rnacentral:rRNA from 1 species